CCUACGGGUGGCAGCAGUGAGGAAUAUUGGUCAAUGGACGAGAGUCUGAACCAGCCAAGUAGCGUGAAGGAUGACUGCCCUCUGGGUUGUAAACUUCUUUUAUAUGGGAAUAAAACAGGGUAUGCAUACCCUCUUGUAUGUACCAUAUGAAUAAGGAUCGGCUAUCUCCGUGCCAGAAGACGCGGUAAUACGGAGGAUCCGAGCGUUAUCUGGAUUUUUUGGGUUUAAAGGGAGCGUAGGUGGAUUGUUAAGUCAGUUGUGAAAGUUUGCGGCUCACGCGUAGAAUUGCAGUUGAAACUGGCAGUCUUGAGUACAGUAGAGGUGGGCGGAAUUCGUGGUGUAGCGGGGAAAUGCUUAGAUAUCACGAAGAACUCCGAUUGCGAAGGCAGGUCACUGGACUGCAACUGACACUGAUGCUCGAAAGUGUGGGUAUCAAACAGGAUUAGAUACCCUUGUAGUC
rnacentral:rRNA from 1 species